UACGUAGGUGGCAAGCGUUGUCCGGAUUUACUGGGCGUAAAGAGCGCGCAGGCGGCUGGUCAAGUCCGAUGUGAAAUCUCCCGGCUUAACUGGGAAACUGCAUCGGAAACUGAUCGGCUUGAAGGUGGGAGAGGCGAGUGGAAUUCCCGGUGUAGCGGUGAAAUGCGCAGAUAUCGGGAGGAACACCAGUAGCGAAGGCGGCUCGCUGGGCCACACCUGACGCUGAGACGCGAAAGCUAGGGGAGCGAACGGG
rnacentral:rRNA from 1 species